rnacentral:rRNA from 1 species
ACGCUCGACACCUACGAGAGGCAGCAGUGGGGAAUAUUGCACAAUGGGGGAAACCCUGAUGCAGCGACGCCGCGUGAGCGAAGAAGUAUCCCGGUAUGUAAAGCUCUAUCAGCAGGGAAGAAAAUGACGGUACCUGACUAAGAAGCACCGGCUAAAUACGUACCAGCAGCCGCGGUAAUCUGAGCGGGCGUGGCAAGGC